GGGCCCGUAGCUCAGUGGUAGAGCGCCCGGCUGUUAACCGGAAGGUCGUGGGUUCGAAUCCCACCGGGCCCG
rnacentral:tRNA from 1 species